rnacentral:lncRNA from 1 species
CUUUAACCCUGACUUGUCUUCACAGUGUUUUGCAAAGAGUAGAUACUCAUUAACCAGUUGGUGAGAGCUGUUUCUAUAUGACAAGAGACCUCUAGAAAAGUGGAAUCAGGUAACAUCACAGAAAGAGACAAGCAGCAACUAGACAGUGUGUCCUCCUGCUAAAAGUACGUAACGUCGGUUGUGAAGUAGUCCUGUCCCUCUCACCCAGAAAAAGGGCCCGACUCUGACGAAGCUUUCAGGAAAUCUAACUACCAAGACACCAUGAAAACAGGAACCAUGUCAGUUUUUGCUGUUUAGAGUAUCUUCAGUACCUGGCAUAGCACCUGCUACAAGGAGACCCAACCUCUCUACUGGAUGUUUUACAAAUAUAGCAUUGACUGGCGUUUAAGACUAUUGCUGUAAGUUUAUGUUGGGAGUAACAACAAUCAAAGCAGAAGACAAUUUUUACUUUUCUAUACCAUCUAUGCAUGGAAGUCUAUCUACAUGGCCUAUACAGGCUUAUCAUAUGACCUUGUAACUGCUUUCAUGUUGACUUCUCCAGGACUCAAAGAACAGUCAAGGUCACUUACUGUCAACACCCA